rnacentral:rRNA from 1 species
AGCUUGCUCCCUGAUGUUAGCGGCGGACGGGUGAGUAACACGUGGGUAACCUGCCUGUAAGACUGGGAUAACUCCGGGAAACCGGGGCUAAUACCGGAUGCUUGUUUGAACCGCAUGGUUCAAACAUAAAAGGUGGCUUCGGCUACCACUUACAGAUGGACCCGCGGCGCAUUAGCUAGUUGGUGAGGUAACGGCUCACCAAGGCGACGAUGCGUAGCCGACCUGAGAGGGUGAUCGGCCACACUGGGACUGAGACACGGCCCAGACUCCUACGGGAGGCAGCAGUAGGGAAUCUUCCGCAAUGGACGAAAGUCUGACGGAGCAACGCCGCGUGAGUGAUGAAGGUUUUCGGAUCGUAAAGCUCUGUUGUUAGGGAAGAACAAGUGCCGUUCAAAUAGGGCGGCACCUUGACGGUACCUAACCAGAAAGCCACGGCUAACUACGUGCCAGCAGCCGCGGUAAUACGUAGGUGGCAAGCGUUGUCCGGAAUUAUUGGGCGUAAAGGGCUCGCAGGCGGUUUCUUAAGUCUGAUGUGAAAGCCCCCGGCUCAACCGGGGAGGGUCAUUGGAAACUGGGGAACUUGAGUGCAGAAGAGGAGAGUGGAAUUCCACGUGUAGCGGUGAAAUGCGUAGAGAUGUGGAGGAAC